rnacentral:rRNA from 1 species
AUUGAACGCUGGCGGCAGGCCUAACACAUGCAAGUCGAGCGAGCGGCGGACGGGAGAGUAAUGUAUGGGGCUCUGCCCGAGAGAGGGGGUUAACUACUGGACACGGUGGCUAAUACCGCCUACUAUCGGAUGAACCCAUAUGGGAUUAGCUAGUAGGUGGGGUAAAGGCUCACCUAGGCGACGAUCUCUAGCUGGUCUGAGAGGAUGAUCAGCCACACUGGAACGGAGACACGGCCCAGACUCCUACGGGAGGCAGCAGUGGGGAAUAUUGGACAAUGGGCGAAAGCCUGAUGCAGCCAUGCCGCGUGUAUGAAGAAGGCCUUAGGGUUGUAAAGUACUUUCAGCGGGGAGGCGUUACCCGCAGAAGAAGCACCGGCUAACUCCGUGCCAGCAGCCGCGGUAAUUC